rnacentral:lncRNA from 1 species
GCUAUCAGUGUACUGGGCUCAGUGGGAGAUCCUGAACUUUUCUAGGACAGGCCUGGGCUUCAGCAUUUCAGAACUGAAUGGCAUUAAAGUGAACCUGGCCCUAACCUUGGGCUGGCUUGCUCCAGACCAGGCUCAGUCUUACAUCUGAACCUGGGGCUAAACUCGGUCUUGACACCCUUAUAAGUUAUAAUUCUAUUAUUUCUUAAACAUGCCAACAUCAUGAAAAUUUUACUUGUCUCGUUCCCCAU